rnacentral:rRNA from 1 species
UACGAAGGGGGCUAGCGUUGCUCGGAAUCACUGGGCGUAAAGGGUGCGUAGGCGGGUCUUUAAGUCAGUGCUGAAAUAUCCCGGCUUAACCGGGAGGGUGGCAUUGAUACUGAUGGACUUGAGUGGAGUUGAGGUAGGCGGAAUUGACGGUGUAGCGGUGAAAUGCUUAGAUAUCGUCAAGAACACCGAUAGCGAAGGCAGCUUACUAAGCUCUAACUGACACUGAUGCACGAAAGUGUGGGGAUCAAACAGG